GGUUGGAGAAGGGUGUCCUUCAGCCUGGAUUGCGAGAGGGCGCAGGCCAGGCCGAGGGACCCUACCAGUGUAUG
rnacentral:pre_miRNA from 1 species